rnacentral:rRNA from 1 species
UACGUAGGGUGCAAGCGUUGUCCGGAAUUAUUGGGCGUAAAGAGCUCGUAGGCGGUCUGUCACGUCGGCUGUGAAAACUCGGGGCUCAACCCCGAGCCUGCAGUCGAUACGGGCAGACUAGAGUCCGGCAGGGGAGACUGGAAUUCCUGGUGUAGCGGUGAAAUGCGCAGAUAUCAGGAGGAACACCGGUGGCGAAGGCGGGUCUCUGGGACGGUACUGACGCUGAGACGCGAAAGCGUGGGGAGCGAACAGG